AGCAGCCGCGGUAAUUCCAGCUCCAAUAGCGUAUAUUAAAGUUGUUGCAGUUAAAAGCUCGUAGUUGAAUUUCGGGAUUGACGUGAUGGUCAUGCCUUAAGGGGUAUGAACUGUUACUGUUGAUUUCUCACCUUCUGGAGAAACUUGAUGUCCUUUAUUGGGUGUCUUGCGGAUCCAGGACCUUUACCUUGAAAAAUUAGAGUGUUUAAAGCAGGCAUUUUUGCUCGAAUACAUUAGCAUGGAAUAAUAGAAUAGGACGGCAUGGUUCUAUUUUGUUGGUUUCUAGGAUCACCGUAAUGAUUAAUAGGGAUAGUUGGGGGCAUUAGUAUUCAAUUGUCAGAGGUGAAAUUCUUGGAUUUAUUGAAGACUAACUACUGCGAAAGCAUUUGCCAAGGAUGUUUUCAUUAAUCAAGAACGAAAGUUAGGGGAUACGAAGACGAUCAGAUACCGUCGUAGUCUUAACCAUAAACUAUGCCGACUAGGAAUCAGACGAUGUUUAAUUUUUAAUGUACUUCGUUUG
rnacentral:misc_RNA from 1 species